rnacentral:rRNA from 1 species
CACCAAGGCUUCGACGGGUAGCCGGCCUGAGAGGGCGACCGGCCACAUUGGGACUGAGAUACGGCCCAGACUCCUACGGGAGGCAGCAGUGGGGAAUAUUGCACAAUGGGCGCAAGCCUGAUGCAGCGACGCCGCGUGCGGGAUGGAGGCCUUCGGGUUGUAAACCGCUUUUGUUUGGGAGCAAGCCCUUCGGGGUGAGUGUACCUUUCGAAUAAGCACCGGCUAACUACGUGCCAGCAGCCGCGGUAAUACGUAGGGUGCGAGCGUUAUCCGGAUUUAUUGGGCGUAAAGGGCUCGUAGGCGGUUCGUCGCGUCCGGUGUGAAAGUCCAUCGCCUAACGGUGGAUCUGCGCCGGGUACGGGCGGGCUGGAGUGCGGUAGGGGAGACUGGAAUUCCCGGUGUAACGGUGGAAUGUGUAGAUAUCGGGAAGAACACCAAUGGCGAAGGCAGGUCUCUGGGCCGUUACUGACGCUGAGGAGCGAAAGCGUGGGGAGCGAACAGGAUUAGAUACCCUGGUAGUCCACGCCGUAAACGGUGGAUGCUGGAUGUGGGGCCCUUCCACGGGUCCCGUGUCGGAGCCAACGCGUUAAGCAUCCCGCCUGGGGAGUACGGCCGCAAGGCUAAAACUCAAAGAAAUUGACGGGGGCCCGCACAAGCGGCGGAGCAUGCGGAUUAAUUCGAUGCAACGCGAAGAACCUUACCUGGGCUUGACAUGUUCCCGGCGACGGCGGAGACGUCGUUUCCCUUCGGGGCGGGUUCACAGGUGGUGCAUGGUCGUCGUCAGCUCGUGUCGUGAGAUGUUGGGUCAAGUCCCGCAACGAGCGCAACCCUCGCCCCGUGUUGCCAGCGCGUCAUGGCGGGAACUCACGGGGGACCGCCGGGGUUAACCCGGAGGAAGGUGGGGAUGACGUCAGAUCAUCAUGCCCCUUACGUCCAGGGCUUCACGCAUGCUACAAUGGCCGGUACAACGGGAUGCGACAUGGUGACAUGGAGCGGAUCCCUGAAAACCGGUCUCAGUUCGGAUCGGAGCCUGCAACCCGGCUCCGUGAAGGCGGAGUCGCUAGUAAUCGCGGAUCAGCA